AUGCUUCAAAGAAUUAUUAAAAAUAUAUGGCUCCCCAUGAAGCCCACUAUACCCAAGUUUACCAGGAGAUUUGGGUAGGAAGGGGGCUCAUGGGCUUCAUCAUUUAUAAAAUCCCGGCCGCUGAUAAAAGAAGUAAGGCUGCAAAAGCUUCAGCUGCUGCUCAUGGUCCUCACUAACCAGCUUUACUUGGAGUACAUGUGAAAGAAAACGUCAGUCUGCCUGUAAAUUUGAGCAAGCUGCGUUAGACGGGGAGCGUGGAACAUCACUGUACACUUCAACCGUUUACUUCAUGGCAUGAAUGAAUGCAUCUGUGAGAU